GACGAACGCUGGCGGCGUGCUUAACACAUGCAAGUCGAGCGGUAAGGCCCUUCCGGGGGUACACGAGCGGCGAACGGGUGAGUAACACGUGGGUGACCUGCCCUCAGCUCUGGGAUAAGCCUGGGAAACCGGGUCUAAUACUGGAUAUGACUCCAUGACGCAUGUUGUGGGGUGGAAAGCCUUGUGCGGCUGAGGAUGGGCCCGCGGCCUAUCAGCUUGUUGGUGGGGUGAUGGCCUACCAAGGCGACGACGGGUAGCCGGCCUGAGAGGGCGACCGGCCACACUGGGACUGAGACACGGCCCAGACUCCUACGGGAGGCAGCAGUGGGGAAUCUUGCGCAAUGGGCGAAAGCCUGACGCAGCGACGCCGCGUGAGGGAUGACGGCCUCGGUUGUAAC
rnacentral:rRNA from 1 species